rnacentral:lncRNA from 1 species
GCCAAGGAAGGAGGCCUGGAACAAAUUCCCCUUCACAGCACUCAGAAGAAACCAGCCCUGCUGACACUUCGAGUUCAGACUUUUAGCUUCCAGAACUGUGAGACUAUACGGUUUUGUUGUUUAAGACCCCCGGUUUGUAGUACUUUGUUACAGCAGUCCUAGCCAAUGAAUACAGGUAACUUUGGGCUACUUCAUGAUGGCCCAGAUGUCUCUGAUCCUGUAGUGUGGUGCCCUAGCCUGGUCAACGCUUGGAGUUUUAUAACCCUCCAUAGCUUCAGUUUCUUCAUCUAUAAAAUAAUCAUGGAGCGUCUACUAGGUCUUGCAAUUAAUCUGGUAAAACCUUUUUCUUCAACAAACACCAAU